rnacentral:rRNA from 1 species
UUGUACCCUAUUACGUGUCCUAGUCAUUGUAGGGCACUCUAAUGAGACUGCCGGUGACAAACCCGGAGGAAGGUGGGGAUGACGUCAAGUCCUCAUGGCCCUUAUGGUAGGGCUUCACACGUCAUACAAUGGUCGGUACAGAGGGUUGCCAACCCGCGAGGGGGAGCUAAUCCCACAAAGCCGAUCGUAGUCCGGAUCGCAGUCUGCAACUCGACUGCGUGAAGUCGGAAUCGCUAGUAAUCGUGGAUCAGCAUGUCACGGUGAAUACGUUCCCGGGUCUU